CACACACUGAAACUGUCCUAAGGGAAAAGAAAAAAAAAAGGCUCUGAUCUGGUUCUGAGUCUUAAGUAUUCAAAUGCCUAUAAAAUGGCCAUCUAUUUUGUGUUAAAAUACCAUAUUUUAUCUACAAAACAAUGAAAAGCAUUCUAAGAGCUGUGGUUCUUAUCUCAACUUUGCUUAUGUUUCACUUCCUUCUAUUUACUUCACCACCUCUAUCUUUCGAAAGCGCGAAUCCGAGGCUUUCUUUUCAAUCAAGAAGGAUGAUGCAGUAUUCGGCGUUGAGUUCUGCUCAACUGGGAGUGAACGAUGCAGCAACGAAGCCGCCGAAAAAGACGUUCCAUGUAAGUCUGAAUAAGCUGCCACCGAGCAAGUCGAAUCCGUCGCAUAACUAGAUGGCUUUUGUUUGCAGAAUGGUACAUUACUGUCAGUAGUGUCAGAAUCUUCUUCCAUUUUGUAACUGGUUGAUCACAAGUAAAAUGAGACCAAAAUGAUAUGACAUUAGAUUUUGUAA